UACGAAGGGUGCUAGCGUUGUUCGGAAUCACUGGGCGUAAAGCGCGCGUAGGCGGCCUAUCAAGUCAGGGGUGAAAUGCCACGGCUCAACCGUGGAACUGCCUUUGAAACUGAUGGGCUGGAAGAUGAGAGGGGAUAGCGGAAUUUCUGGUGUAGAGGUGAAAUUCGUAGAUACCAGAAGGAACACCGGUGGCGAAGGCGGCUAUCUGGCUCAUUCUUGACGCUCUGGCGCGAAAGCGUGGGGAUCAAACAGG
rnacentral:rRNA from 1 species